rnacentral:rRNA from 1 species
AGGUUAAGUUAACAAGGGCGCAUGGUGAAUGCCUUGGCACUAGGAGCCGAUGAAGGACGGGACUAACACCGAUAUGCUUCGGGGAGCUGUACGUAAGCUAUGAUCCGGAGAUUUCCGAAUGGGGCAACCCAGCAGUUUUAAUCAACUGUUACCACUAGAUGAAUUCAUAGUCUAGUUGGAGGUAAACGCUGUGAACUGAAACAUCUCAUUAGCAGCAGGAAUAUAAAGAAAUUUCGAUUCCCUAAGUAGCGGCGAGCGAACGGGGAACAGCCCAAACCAAAGUGCUUGCACUUUGGGGUUGUAGGACUGAACAUUUGAGUUACCAAAGAACUUGAUAGUCGAAGGAUUUGGGAAAAUCCGCCAUAGAUGGUGAUAGCCCAGUAGAUUAAAUCAAAUUCUCUCAGUUCAGGAUCCUGAGUACGGCGGAACACGUGAAAUUCCGUCGGAAUCCGGGAGGACCAUCUCCCAAGGCUAAAUACUACCUAGUGACCGAUAGUGAACCAGUACCGUGAGGGAAAGGUGAAAAGCACCCCGGGAGGGGAGUGAAAUAGUUCCUGAAACCAUGUGCCUACAAUAAGUCAGAGCGCGUUAAUGCGUGAUGGCGUGCCUUUUGUAGAAUGAACCGGCGAGUUAUGAUCCCGUGCAAGGUUAAGACUAAAAAGUCGGAGCCGUAGCGAAAGCGAGUCUGAAAUGGGCGUUUUGAGUACGAGGUUAUAGACCCGAAACCAGGUGACCUAUCCAUGUCCAGGUUGAAGGUGCGGUAAAACGCACUGGAGGACCGAACCCGUGUAAGUUGAAAAUUGCUGGGAUGAGGUGUGGAUAGCGGUGAAAUUCCAAACGAACUUGGAGAUAGCUGGUUCUCUCCGAAAUAGCUUUAGGGCUAGCCUCGGAAUUAGGAUCAUGGAGGUAGAGCACUAUUUGGACUAGGGGCCCGUCUUGGGUUACUGAAUUCAGAUAAACUCCGAAUGCCAUUGAUUCAUAUCCGGGAGUCAGACGAUGAGUGAUAAGAUCCACCGUCGAAAGGGGAACAGCCCAGACCAUCAGUUAAGGUCCCUAAAUGUAUGCUAAGUGGAAAAGGAUGUGGAGUUGCAUAGACAACUAGGAUGUUGGCUCAGAAGCAGCCACCAUUUAAAGAGUGCGUAAUAGCUCACUAGUCGAGUGAUCCUGCGCCGAAAAUGUACCGGGGCUAAGCAUACUACCGAAACCAUGGAUGCGACCAUUAGGUCGCGUGAUAGGAGAGCGUUCUAAGGGCGGUGAAGCAAGAUCGUGAGGACUUGUGGAGCGCUUAGAAGUGAGAAUGCCGGUAUGAGUAGCGAAAGAUAGGUGAGAAUCCUAUCCACCGAAUGACUAAGGUUUCCUGGGGAAGGCUCGUCCUCCAGGGUUAGUCGGGACCUAAGUCGAGGCCGAGAGGCGUAGACGAUGGAUAACAGGUUGAGAUUCCUGUACUAGUUAAGUGCGUUUGAGCAAUGGAGGGACGCAGGAGGCUAAGAUGUGCAUUCUGUUGGAUUAGAAUGUCCAAGCAGUAAGUCUUGUGAAGAGUCAAAUGCUUUUCACUUUAAGGACAAGCUGUGAUGGGGAGCGAAAUUUAGUAGCGAAGCGUCUGAUGUCACACUGCCGAGAAAAGCUUCUAGUGAGUACUUAACUACCCGUACCGCAAACCGACACAGGUAGUCGAGGAGAGAAUCCUAAGGUGAGCGAGUGAACUCUCGUUAAGGAACUCGGCAAAAUGACCCCGUAACUUCGGGAGAAGGGGUGCUGAUCGCAAGAUCAGCCGCAGUGAAUAGGCCCAGGCGACUGUUUAUCAAAAACACAGGUCUCUGCAAAAUCGUAAGAUGACGUAUAGGGGCUGACGCCUGCCCGGUGCUGGAAGGUUAAAAGGAUGGGUUAGCUUCGGCGAAGCUCAGAAUUGAAGCCCCAGUAAACGGCGGCCGUAACUAUAACGGUCCUAAGGUAGCGAAAUUCCUUGUCGGGUAAGUUCCGACCCGCACGAAAGGCGUAACGAUCUGGGCACUGUCUCAACGAGAGACUCGGUGAAAUUAUAUUGUCCGUGAAGAUGCGGACUACCCGCGACAGGACGGAAAGACCCCAUGGAGCUUUACUGUAGCUUGAUAUUGAGUGUUUGUACAGCUUGUACAGGAUAGGUAGGAGCCAUAGAAACCGGAACGCUAGUUUCGGUGGAGGCGUUGGUGGGAUACUACCCUCGCUGUAUGACCACUCUAACCCGCACCACUAAUCGUGGUGGGAGACAGUGUCAGGUGGGCAGUUUGACUGGGGCGGUCGCCUCCUAAAAAGUAACGGAGGCGCCCAAAGGUUCCCUCAGAAUGGUUGGAAAUCAUUCGCAGAGUGUAAAGGCACAAGGGAGCUUGACUGCGAGACAGACAGGUCGAGCAGGGACGAAAGUCGGGCUUAGUGAUCCGGUGGUACCGUAUGGAAGGGCCAUCGCUCAACGGAUAAAAGCUACCCUGGGGAUAACAGGCUUAUCUCCCCCAAGAGUCCACAUCGACGGGGAGGUUUGGCACCUCGAUGUCGGCUCAUCGCAUCCUGGGGCUGUAGUCGGUCCCAAGGGUUGGGCUGUUCGCCCAUUAAAGCGGUACGCGAGCUGGGUUCAGAACGUCGUGAGACAGUUCGGUCCCUAUCCGUCGCGGGCGUAGGAAAUUUGAGAGGACCUGUCCUUAGUACGAGAGGACCGGGAUGGACAUACCUCUGGUGUACCAGUUGUGCCGCCAGGCGCAUCGCUGGGUAGCUACGUAUGGAUGUGAUAAACGCUGAAAGCAUCUAAGUGUGAAACACACCUCGAGAUGAGAUUUCCCAUUCCUUUAUGGAAGUAAGACCCCUGAAAGAUGAUCAGGUAGAUAGGUUAGAAGUGGCAGUGCGGUGACGCAUGAAGCGGACUAAUACUAAUCGGUCGAGGACUUAACCAAG